rnacentral:rRNA from 1 species
UACAGAGGGGGCAAGCGUUGUUCGGAAUUACUGGGCGUAAAGGGCGCGUAGGCGGCCUGUUAAGUCGAACGUGAAAUCCCCGGGCUCAACCCGGGAACUGCGUCCGAUACUGGGAGGCUUGAAUCCGGGAGAGGGAUGUGGAAUUCCAGGUGUAGCGGUGAAAUGCGUAGAUAUCAGGAGGAACACCAAUUGCGAAGGCAGCUCGCUGGGACGUUACUGACGCUGAGACGCGAAAGCGUGGGGAGCAAACAGG